GAUGAACGCUAGCGGCAGGCUUAACACAUGCAAGUCGAGGGCAGCAUAAACAUUGCUUGCAAUGUUUGAUGGCGACCGGCGCACGGGUGCGUAACGCGUAUGUAACCUACCUCAAACAGGGGCAUAACACUGAGAAAUUGGUACUAAUUCCCCCAUAACACCUGAAGGGGCAUCCUUUUGGGUUGAAAAGUUCCGGCGGUUUUGAGAUGGACAUGCGUUGUAUUAGCUAGUUGGUGAGGUAACGGCUCACCAAGGCGACGAUACAUAGGGGGACUGAGAGGUUAACCCCCCACGAUUGGUACUGAGACACGGACCAAACUCCUACGGGAGGCAGCAGUGAGGAUAUUGGUCAAUGGACGCAAGUCUGACCAGCCAUGCCGCGUG
rnacentral:rRNA from 1 species